GAAACAAGUUAAGCUCUACUAUCUGUGCCUACUAAAGGAGCACCUUACUCUCUAUUACGCGGAGAAACAUUUGGGGAGUUCCCAGGCAAGGACCCUGUAGAAAUGCUGCUAUACUUCAAGUGCCCCUUCUUGAUCAUAAUUGGAAUAUUGCUAUUGUUUGGUAUAAUAUUUAAUAAAAAGACAGUAAAUUUUAGGUCUCAAGUCAAUGAAGGAAGAGGCCAUGAAAAUAGCUGUACUAAAGCAGUAAGAUUCUAUGAUUUCUUACUCCUCUUAUAAAUAUUUUCUUUAAUGUUGUCAUUUUUUUUACAAAUUAAAAAAAAAUCAGUAUUGUGCUGAUCCCCACCCUCCACCAAUGUAUCUCUGCCCACCUCCCCCCACCGCCGCUGAUCAUGAGAACAUUUACCUGAAGGUCAUCAUCAGACCCUGAACUGCUGACAGGAUAGAGGGAGUACCUGUGGAACUGCCCGCUCAGUUCCAAUGCCCAAAGUCACUGCUCCUCCUCCUCAUUGCCCUUUACCUGUCCCACCCUGCUCCAGGCCAGGCUCCUCUGGCCUGCUUGUGUUCUCUGUACACCACCAGGGGGCGGGAAAAUGCCUGGACUGAUUUCCUGGCUCUAGUUAUCUUUGGGUACAAAGAGUCGGCCCGUGCUGCUCUCUGAAAUCUCCUAAGGAUGCAAAGCCUCCCCAGUAGGAAUAAAGUGAAGGAGCAAAUGGAGGCUGAGAAGACAUUCAGCUCGCCCUCUCUCGGGCAGGAGUUGGGGCAGUGUGCCAGGUGUCCCUCACUUCUUAGAAACGUGGUGUUUUGAGGUGUACCUCAGUGGAUCAGUGUAGGGAUAGGAUAGUGGAGGACUUGGGAGCCUGGUUGCUCCAUAGCACUAGAGAUGAGGGACAUAGCAAGGGGUGAGGAAAGCUGAAAGAUACUGGGGAAAGGUGAAAAAAGGAUUAUAUGAUACAGAUUGAAUUUAAUUUAUAUCAGUGUAGAUGAACAUACCUAGUGGCAACAUUGCUAGCUCUCUAAAGUUUAGAUUUUUAUAGUUUUUGUCAAUAUCACUUAUCAAUCAGUACAGGCUGUGAAAAUUGUAUUUCAUGUACUUUUUUUCCUACUAAGAAAGAAAAUAAGUAGGAAUUGUCUUUGUCUUAAAAUCAUUCCGUUUUUCCUUUAUAAAUAAACUUUGAAAGUUUGAAAA
rnacentral:lncRNA from 1 species